AUUUUAAUCUUUAUUAUAAAAUUAUAACACAAAGAAGAAUCCUGAAGAAUGACCCUAAAGCUUUUGUCACAAUAGCAUUGUAAUGGAAAUACAGGUGUGUUUUCUUUUCUUUCUUUUUUCCUUUUUUGAGACAGGGUCUUGCUUUGUCACCCAGGGUGGUGUGCAGUGGAGCUAUCAUGGCUCACUGUAGCCUCGACCUCCUGGGCUCAAGCAAUCCUCCCACCUCAGCCUAUUGGGCAGCUGGGACUACAGGCAUGCAUAACCACAUCCAGCUAAUUUUUUGUAGAGAUGGGGUUUCUCCAUGUAUUGCCCAGGCUGGUCUCGAACUCCUUGGCUCAAGUGAUUCUCCCACCUUAGCCUCCCAAAGUGCUGGGAUUACAAGCAUGAGCCACCACACCUGGCCUAUGUGUGUUUUAUGAUUAAAAAAGAAAUACAUACAAUUAUUGGGACAGAACAAAAUAAAGAGAAAAAUACAAAUUACCUGUAAUUCAACUAUCCAGAGAUAAUUAUUUUUUACGGACUGAAUGAUGUUCUCCAAAAUUCAUAUGUUGAAGCCCUAGCCCCUAAUGUGAUUAAUAUGGUUUGGCUGUGUCCCCACCCAAAUCUCAUCUUGAAUUGUAACUCCCACAAUUCCCAUGUGUUGUGGGAAGAAACUAAUGGGAGGUAAUUGAAUCAUGGGGACGGGUCUUUCCCAUGCUGUUCUUAUGAUAGUGAAUAAGUCUCACGAGAUCUGAUGGCUUUAAAAAAUGGGAGUUUUCCUGUAUAAGCUCUCCCUCUCUUUGCCUGCUGCCAUCCAUGUAAGACAUGACUUUUUCCUCCUUGCCUUCCACCAUGAUUGUGAGGCCUCGCCAGCCAUGUGGAACUGUAAGUCCAUUAAAUGUCUUUCUUUUGUAAGUUGCCCAGUCUCAGGUAUGUCUUUAUCAGCAGUGUGAAAAUGAACUAAUACAGUAAAUUGGUACCAGUAGAGUGGGUUGCUGCUGUAAAUACCCGAAAAUGUGAAAACGACUUUGGAACUGGGUAACAGGCAGGGGUUGGAACAGUUUGGAGGGCUCAGAAGAAGACAGGAAAACGUGGGACAGUUUGGAACUUCCUAGAGACUUGUUGAAUGACUUUGCCCAAAAUGCUGAUAGUGAUAUAGACAAUGAAGUCCAGCCUGAGGUGGCUUCAGAUGGAGAUGAGGAACUUCUUGGGAACUGGAGCAAAGGUGACUCUUGUUAUGUUUAGCAGCAUUUUGCCCCUGGGCAUUUUGCCCCCAUCCUAGAGCUUUGUGGAACUUUGAACUCGAGAGAGAUAAUUUUGGGUAUCUGGCAGAAGAAAUUUCUAAGCAGCAAAGCAUUCCAGAGGUGACCUGGUUCACCACUUGGGUGCUGUUAAAGGCAUUCAGUUUCAAAAGGGAAAUGGAGAAUAAAAGUUCAGAAAACUUGCAGCCUGACAAUGUGAUAGAAAAGAAAAUCCCAUUUUCUGAGGAGAAAUUCAAGCUGGCUGCAGAAAUUUGCAUAAGUAAUGAGGAGCCAAAUGUUAAUCCCCAAGACAAUGGGGAAAAUGUCUCAAGGGCAUGUCAGAGGUCUUCACAGCAGCCCCUCUCAUCACAGGCCCAGAGGCCAAGGAGGAAAAAGUGGUUUUGUGGGCUGGGCCCAGGGUGCCUCGCUGUGUGCAGUCUAGGGACUUGGUGUCCUGCAUCCCAGCUGCUCCAGCCAUGACUAAAGGGGCCAAGGUACAGCUCAGAUUGUUGCUUCAGAGGGUACAAGCCCCCAGCCUUGGCAUCUUCCAUGUGGUGUUGAGCCUGUGUGUGCACAGAAGUCAAGAAUUGAAGUUUGGGAACCUCUGCCUAGAUUUCAGAGGAUGUAUGGAAAUGCCUGGAUGCCCAGGCAGAAGUUUGCUGCAGGGGCAGGGCUCUCAUGGAGAACCCCUAUGAGGGCAAUGCAAAAGGGAAAUGUGGGGUUGGAGUCCCCACACAGAUCUCUACUGAGACACCACCUAGUGGAGCUGUGAGAAGAGGGUCAUCACUAUCCUCCAGAACCCAGAAUGCUAGAUCCACCAACAGCUUACACUGUUUGCCUGAAAAAGCCACAGACACUCAAUGCCAGCCUGUUAAAGCAGCUGGGAGGGAGUCUGUACCCUUCAAAGCCUGGAUGUGAGACAUCGAGUUAAAGGAGAUCAUUUGGAGCUUUAAGAUUUGACUACCCCACAGGAUUUCAGACUUGCAUGGGGCUUGUAGCCCCUUUGUUUUAGCCAAUUUCUCUCAUUUGGAAUGGCUGUAUUUACCCAAUGCCUGAACCCCCACUGUAUCUAGGAAGUAACUAAUUUGCUUUUGAUUUUAUAGGCUCAUAGGCUGAAGGGACUUGCUUUGUCUGAGACUGUGGACUUUUGAGUUAAUGCUGAAAUGAGUUAUGACUUUGGAGGAAUAUUAGAAAGGCGUGAUUGGAUUUGAAAUGUGAGGACAUGAGAUUUGGAAGGGGCCAGGGGUGGAAUGAUAUGGUUUGGCUGUGUCCCCACCCAAAUCUCAUCUCUAAUUGUAACUUCCACAAUUCCCAUGUAUGAUGAGAGGAAACAGUGGGAGGUAAUUGAAUCACAGGGACGGGUCUUUCCCAUAUUGUUCUUGUGAUAGUGAAUAAGUCUCAUGAGCUCUGAAGGCUUUACAAAUGAGAGUUUCCCUUCACAAGCCCUCUCUCUCCCUCUCUUUGCCUGCUGCCAUCCAUGUAAGACAUGAUUUGUUCCUCCUUGUCUUCCACCAUGAUUGUGAGGCUCCCCAGCCAUGUGGAAGUGUAAGUCCAAUUAAACCUCUUUCUUUUGUAAAUUGCCCAGUCUUGGGUAUGUCUUUAUCAGCAGCAUGAAAACGGACUAAUACAGUGAUAGUAUUUGAAAAGGGGCCUUUGGGAGGUAAACAAGGUUAAACAAGGUCAUGAGGACCCUAAUCCAAUAGGAUUUGUGCCCUUAUGAAAACAGGGAGAGACAAACCAGAGCUCAUUGGCUAUCUCUUCCAUGUUGGGACACACAAAGAAGAUGGCCAUCUCCAAGACAGAAAUGUGAUCAUGCUGGCACCUUGACCCUGAACUUCUAGCCUUUGGAACUGUGAAAAUAAAUUUGUUUUUUACGCCAC
rnacentral:lncRNA from 1 species